rnacentral:rRNA from 1 species
AGCGAACGCUGGCGGCAGGCCUAACACAUGCAAGUCGAACGAACCUUUCGGGGUUAGUGGCGGACGGGUGAGUAACACGUGGGAACGUGCCUUUAGGUUCGGAAUAACUCAGGGAAACUUGUGCUAAUACCGAAUGUGCCCUUCGGGGGAAAGAUUUAUCGCCUUUAGAGCGGCCCGCGUCUGAUUAGCUAGUUGGUUGAGGUAAUGGCUCACUAAGGCGACGAUCAGUAGCUGGUCUGAGAGGAUGAUCAGCCAUAUUGGGACUGAGACACGGCCCAAACUCCUACGGGAGGCAGCAGUGGGGAAUCUUGCGCAAUGGGCGAAAGCCUGACGCAGCCAUGCCGCGUGAAUGAUGAAGGUCUUAGGAUUGUAAAAUUCUUUCACCGGGGACGAUAAUGACGGUACCCGGAGAAGAAGCCCCGGCUAACUUCGUG